UAUCAAGACUUCAGACAUAAAAGUUGCCCU
rnacentral:piRNA from 2 species